AGAGUUUGAUCAUGGCUCAGGACGAACGCUGGCGGCGUGCUUAACACAUGCAAGUCGAACGGGCCUGUCCUGGUUUUUGCUGGGGUGGGUUAGUGGCGAACGGGUGAGUAACACGUGAGUAACCUGCCCCUCACUUCUGGAUAACCGCUUGAAAGGGUGGCUAAUACGGGGUGUUCUGGCUGUGCCGCAUGGUGUGGUUGGGAAAGAUUCACUAUUUGUUUGGUGUUUUGGUGGGGGAUGGGCUCGCGGCCUAUCAGCUUGUUGGUGGGGUGAUGGCCUGCCAAGGCUUUGACGGGCAGCCGGCCUGAGAGGGUGGGCGGUCACACUGGGACUGAGACACGGCCCAGACUCCUGCGGGAGGCAGCAGUGGGGGAUAUUGCACAAUGGGCGGAAGCCUGAUGCAGCGACGUCGCGUGAGGGAUGGAGGCCUUCGGGUUGUGAACCUCUUUCGCCGGUGAAGAAGGUCCUGCUUUUUGGGUGGGGUUGACGGUAGCCGGGUUAUGAAGCGCCGGCUAACUACGUGCCAGCAGCCGCGGU
rnacentral:rRNA from 1 species